rnacentral:sRNA from 1 species
CAGAAACCUGCUCUUGAUUGCUCGGCCUAUGAUGCUUUCUGUUAACGACUGUCUCUCUGCACNCACACUGUGAAGUAAUUUAUUUUACAACGUUCUUCUUUGGGCUUUACGGCCCAAGGGUUACAAACACAAACAAAUAUUGUAUUUUAAACAUUGUCAAUAAUUUUUCAUUUUAGAAAAAAAAUAUUUAAAACUUUCAACAACGGAUCUCUUGGUUCUCACAUCAAUGAAGAACGCAACGAAAUGCGAUAAGUAUUGUGAAUUGCAGAUAUUCAUGAAUCAUCGAAUCUUUGAACCCACAUUGCGCCCUCGGUAUUCCAGGGGGAAUGCCUGUUUGAGCGUCAUUUCCUUCUCAAACCCUGGGUUUGGUAGUGAGUGGUACUCUUUCAGGGUUAACUUGAAAAUGCUGGCCAUCUGGAAAAUGAUGACCAAGGAUGUAGUCCAGUCCGGCGAUACUCUGAGUAAUAGGUUUUACCAACUGUAGUGGCGUUAGUAGGCGUUUUAAAGGGGGACACUGAAAGAACAGACACNUCUGGCAAACAGUAUUCAUAAAGU